rnacentral:rRNA from 1 species
GGAGGAUCCGAGCGUUAUCCGGAUUUAUUGGGUUUAAAGGGUGCGUAGGCGGACUAGUAAGUCAGCUGUGAAAGUUAGUGGCUCAACCACUAAAUUGCAGUUGAAACUGUUGGUCUUGAGUAUACAUGAGGUGAGCGGAAUUUGUGGUGUAGCGGUGAAAUGCAUAGAUAUCACAAGGAACUCCAAUUGCGAAGGCAGCUCACUGGGGUAUAACUGACGCUGAGGCACGAAGGUGCGGGUAUCAAACAGGAUUAGAUACCCUGGUAGUCCGCACAGUAAACGAUGAAUACUCGCUGUUUGCGAUAUACAGUAAGCGGCCAAGCGAAAGCAUUAAGUAUUCCACCUGGGGAGUACGCCGGCAACGGUG